AAUUUCCUAAUCUAGUGUCCCAUUUUACUUGUCCUUUUUUUACUUAUCAAGACAAGACAAUUUUUUUUUUCACAUUUUACCCUUUGCAUUAAUUACUUUUUCUUUAAAUUAAAAUGUAAACAUCAUUUAAUAGAAAUACUAUGAUAAACUAGCCAUGUUAUUUAUUAUUUUUUUAAUAGAUAUGUUAUUCCAAUUUGGAACGAGUAAUAUGAGACGGAGAAAUAUUAGUUAACUGGCUUAAAAAUGUCCUUCAAUUUAGCAAGUUUUUCAGAAAUAUCCUUCUAACUAAUGAUUCCUCCAAAUAAAGAAAGAAAAAGUUAAGUUUGCCCUUAAAUUAUUGGAAAUUGGACAAAAUUGAAACCGCAACUGAUAUUCUUUUUUAUCCUUUUCCCCUUUUUAUUUUUUGGUGUUGACUUGUGCAAUCAAUAAAUUGUUCUUCUUGUUUAACAUUAAUUAUGAGUAAUUAAGCCCAAAGUUUUGUUGUUUGACAAUAACCCAUGAGCUAAUCCUCAUUGAUGCCAACAGCGCCCACUCCAAAGCUUAACAAAAAAGGUUGUUGCCUUAGUCUCCGAAAUUUGGGUGCCUCAUUUUUUUUUUUAAAUAAGGGGUCGUGUGGUAGGUAUUAGAAAGACAAUUUAUUCAUGUAAUUAUUAUUUGUGUAAGUUAUACAAGGUUAGCUAGUUAGGAAGUAAGUAAUCAUAUAUAAAAUUAAUACAGACAUUUGAGUUUUUUAAUUUAGAAUCCCAUAUAACUAAUAUAUGCAUAAAUUAUGAGAAAAUUGAUUUAUUAUCUUAUGUGGAGUAGAAGAUGAAAUAGUUAAUAUCUGCAUUACUAAUACUUUCAUAAUUCUAAUCACUUACUAAAUGACCCCUAACUAGGGGUGUGCAUCGGUCGGUUCGGUUUGAUUUUACGUGUUAUUGGUUCGAUUUAUAGAUUUUUGAUUUUUAAAUAUGUAAAACCAAUAACCAACCAAUAAGACAUUUUCUUAUCAGUUUUUGGUCCUUAACGAUUCGGUUUAACCAAUAAGAUAAUACUUAUAAAAUAGAAAUAAUAACAACUAACAUAAAAAAUGAAAUUUUAAUUACCGCCAAAACCUACGCAAUGCAUUUUAGUUUACAAGAAUCUUCAAACUUGAAUUGAAUGUUAGUUAGGAAAAAAAUUGAAUCUUAAUUGUUGGAAGCUAUAAAUGUUUCAAGCUUUUUAGUACGAUAAUAGACGAACUUUAUAUUGUGCCUUUGUUGCCCUGAAUAGGUUAAUACUUUGUGAAUCACUGAAUUAUAAAUUAAUAGUGCAUAUAAUCUAUAUACAUACACAUAUAUAUCUCUCUUUAUAUAUAUAUAUAUAUAGAGAGAGAGAUAAAGAAAGAGAUAUUUAAAUAUAUAACAUAAAUAGGGGUAAAACAAUAACUUAGUUUAUCCUUAUUGGGUUAUCGGUUUAACCGAUAACUCAAUAAGCUAAAACCGAUAUCGAACAGUUUACCCAAUAAAAUUUUUUAUAAAACUAAUAAAAAGCCGUUAACCCAAUAACCCAAUAACAUUUUUAUCAGUUCGAUUUAUCAGUCGAUUCAAUUUUUGCACAGCCUACCCCUAAUUGUGUUAGUAGAAAUCGAUCAUAAAAAACAUUAUUAGCAACUUUUCAUCUCAAAAAUUUACAAGAAUUGACCAAAUAAGACUAUAUAUAAAAUUAUUAUUUUUGAGUUUAGAGUCUCCUAUUUAAUUUGAGCCACCCCAUUGAUUGAUAGGCAUUAUAUUCCUUUUAUUCAAUUUAUGUGAGGUAGUUUACUCGACAAGGAAUUUAAGAAAGAACGAAAUACUUUUGAAGCUUGUAUUUUAAAAUAAGUCAAAAUAUAUGUAUGACUAAUUCACUAUGAAUCAUUUUAUUAAGGGUAAAAUAAAUAUUUUAAAGCUAAAAUAUUACUAAAUGCAUAUGCAUCAUUCUUGUAUGAACUGACUAGAAAAAAUAUGUCAUAUAAAUUAAAAUGGGAGAAAAUAUUAAUUAUAGCUAUUUUCAUUGCCAUUCAGCUUCUAUUAUCUCAACAAACUUAAAAACGACACCAUCCGUCGCCGUCAUCCUCGAUAUGUUUUCAAACAUGUUAGGUACAUUCUUGUAAAUGUCAGUCUUUGAAAAAAUAUGCGACAACUUUUCUCUCUUUUACAUUCACUCACGGUAGGUAAGUAAUCUGUCACAAUUAGCUGAUGAAAGAAAUGAAAUUAAAAGAGCAAACACCUCCAAUCAUUACUAAAUGGUGAACAUUUUAUGUCAUGCCAAAUAUAUAUAUAACAUUUGUUGAUAUUGGAUGAUAUUUUCGACAUUGUCACUAACAAUAUUAUUCAUACUUAUGGUGCAGGACACGAGGAAAGAUUCACUAUUUCACCUUUGAAAUUUCCCGAUGAAAAAUGUUUAAUAACCAUUUUCACAGAUAUUUUAAUUGAAACUGUGAGAAAAGAAAAUAUAGUAGUGUUUUUGCAUGAAUAAAUUAGAAAGCUUAAUUUUCAGUAUUUUCAUGUCCAUAUAUUUUUCCGGCGAGCUAAGUUAGGUGGAAUAUAGGUGAAAAAAUCAUAUUUUAUAACACUAAUUUUAUAUUGAUUCCAGAUAAUAAAAUCACAUUUUAUAACAUAAAUUUCUCAUUGAUUCACCUGAAAAAGUCACUUUUCAUAACACAACUUUUUCAUGAUUUCUGAUGCAAAAACACUCUCUGGUAGUGAGAGCAUGGGUCCGGAAGAACAGAAACAACACUUCAAAUUAAAUUAUUUUUAUGAAAAUAAUCAUAGAAUUUAAACUUGACUUUCUAGCCAUUUCAAUUUAUUGACUUGUUUUAUACCGUUUCUACACACCUUCUAUAUAGUUUCUAGACAUAUCUUAUACAUAUAAAUAUUCUAUACGAAAAUUAUACAGUUUUGAUACACAAUUUAUAUAAUAAUUAUACUUUUUUUACACGUUUUAUACAAUAAUUAUAUAAUUUUCAUAAACUUUCUAUAGAUUUUUAUAUAUAUUUUAUACAUAUUUGAUAGAACUAUAUAAUUUCUAUACAUAUAUCUUAUAUAGAUACAUAUUCUAUUUUACAAUUAUAGCAUUUUUAUAUAAUUUAAUUAUUAUUUCUAGACAAUAAAAAAAUAAAUAUUUAAUCAAUUAAAAAAUUUAUAGCAAAAAAUAUUAAAAUAUUUUUAAAAUGGCGAAUUGCCCGAGUUGAACACUGUAUCACUAUUGUAUAUAUACUGUACAGUAUUGUAUAUGGACUGUAUAUGAACUACGUAGGUCAAAAUGAUCCAAAUUAGGAAAUGACUAUAAAGUGAAAAUAGGAUAUCCGACUGACCAUUUUUUGAAAAGUUUUCAAACUUAGGCUAUUUAUUUUAAAAAGUGUUAUAGAGUGUCCCUCCCCCCACCGAAUGGCCUAAGGAAAGAGCUAAAAAUGGUCAAAUGACCCAAUGACCAUAAAAUGAAAUUUUUUUCUUCUGCUACACAAUGUCCUUUUCCCUUAAUAUUUAUCUGUUAAAAUUAAUUAAGAAUUAACUUAAAUAGUUGUCCACUCAAAGUAUAACUUAAAAGGCGGAAUACAUCGACAGAUCCCUCAACUUGACAUCAUCUUUCACUUUUACUCUUCAAGUGGACGGUGUUCAUUUUUUGCAUCUAAAACAGUCUUCAAGUGUAUCAUUUUAGCACUUUUUUCAUAAUUAGUAAAAAAAAAUAUUAUGUGCGUGUGUUACAGCGCCAAUGACAUAAAAAGUGACGAAUAAAACGUGGAUAUUUAUCAUUUCUCUCUAAAUUAAUUUUUAAAUAACUAAAUUUAAUUAAAAUAAAGAGAUAAAAAGAAACUAUAACUACCCCAUCCUCACCAAAUCUGUCUUCUCCAGCCCACCCCACCCCGCCCGCUUCCCCACCCUUCAGCCGUCUUCUCCGAUUCUCACUGCCAUUUUACCUCCUCUGGCCACCCUCCAACCCCCCCCAAUCACAAUCAUCUCUUCAAUUACCUCCGAACACACAAUCAUCUUUUCAAAAAAAAAAUUGUUAAGAAUUCAUCCCAAACAAAAUUUGUUAAAAAAUUAUUGAGAUUUCACAAUUAGAGAAAAUUUUCACAAUCGAAUUGUAUUUGACAUUAUUCAUUCUUUCAUAUUAACUCUAAAAUCUAUCUCAAAACUUUUCACCAUUGAAGGGCUUAAAAUUGAGUUAAAAUGAGUUAUUGAAAAUUAUGAAUUUAUAGAUAUUGGAAGAAGAAGUUGAUGGUAGAUUAAUUUUCUACUAUUUUUAACUAUCAUUAAGGAAGAAGCCAUGAUUGUGUGAGUGGUUGGUGGAUUAAAAUGGAGAAAAGUGUUGAAGGAAAUUAAAAGGAAGAAAAAGAAAAAGACAAAUAAAAAUUAGUAAUUUUUAAGCUGUUCACGUGCUCAAAAUGUGUGCAACAUACACAAUGUGUCAAGUCAUCAAACGUGUCAAAGUGACACACUUGAUGACUGCUUAAGGUGUUAAAAGCGAACACUGUCCAUUUAAGGUGUUAAAGUGAAAGAUAGUGUCAAAUAUUUAUUCUGCCUCAAAUUGAAGGAUAUUUAUUCUGCCUAACUUAAAAUAACCGUUGAAUUUAUAAUAUAUGUAUAUUUCAUAAUACCCACUUACCCCCCCUAAAUAUACUCAAAAGAGUUUUGCCACACCUCAGUUUAAAAGGUGUCCUAUUAUCCUCUGAACUAAAUAAAAACGAAAUUUUCACCCCCUUAGUGCCUAUGUGGCACAUACGUAGCACAACGCACUGAAGUGUCCACGUAGGCACACGUGUGUGCCACAGACACCCAGAGGGUGAAAAUUCUACUUUUAAUUAGUUCAGGGGUAAUAGGACCCCCUUUAAAUUGACGUAUGAUAUAGCCUUUUUGGUUAUAGUUCAGGGUAAUUGAAUAUUUUCCCUAUUAUACAUGUAUCCGGCAUGAAAAAGAAAAUAGUGAAUUCAACCGGCUACGCGAAUCUCUUGUUUGGGAAUAAGAAUUUGUAUAUUUUGUCCGCAAUUAUUACUUACAAAGUGAAACGUGAUAUAGGAACCGAUCACCCAUGAUCUUCUUACAAAUCAAAGCAGGCAAGUGAAAAUUCUAACAGUACCUGAAGGUAAUUUGCAAAAAGUAGACAUCAUUUGUUUGAACCAACCGAGUUGAGUCCCCAAAGACACAUUGUUAGGGGCUCUUACUCCCUUGUCCAACAAGUAGGCAGAGUCAAGUGCUGUUGCCCCUCCUACUGCAAAAUUCACACCUUGCCUGAAUUUUACAUUGUUCCUUUCAUCAAUAUUGCUUCCCAAAUAUGCUGGCACUAAUGGGAGCCCUAAACUCUCAGCUACAAAUCCAACAACAACUCAUCAGAAAAACAACUAGGAAAAAGAAAUGGUGAAUUUUUGGUAUACAUGUGACAAAAAGGAGAUAAACAAAUCAUAUAUCAACAGGGCACUUAGCGCGAUCAUACCGACAAAUUGGAGAGCACAAUUUUGCAAAACACAAUAGCUAUGUGAAGAACUGAACAUUAAACGUAACACACAACUUCAAAAUCUAUAAGGAGGAAAACAAUUAUAGCUAUGGCUUAAAAUUUGUAUAUGCGUAUGUACGUACCAAUAAAAUCAAUAACAAGACGGCCAUCGGAAAAGCGACCGGUGGGAUGAUGAAAGAAGGUUUCACCAUAAGGUUGCCUGGCGAAAUGGGGAGGAUGAAUUUUGUUUAGAGAGAGAUGAAGCCCAUUUCCAGUGUCAGCUAGUGAAUCGCCGAAACUAAUUAUGGAGUUGAAGCAUCCCUCAAUGAUUUGGAAGUUAUGGUUUAUGACCAAAAGGAAGAAGGCAAUUGCUGCAGUGCUCCAAGUAUUCAAUUUUAGAGAAGAAGAAGAAGCAGCCAUGACGACAAAUCCCAAGCAGAAAAGGCUUAUUCUUAUAUACUCUUAUAUAAAUAAUGAUGAAAUUUAUGCCAACUAAUAAGCUACUAACUAUGUGACCAACUACGUAAGGUCUGUCAACGUAACUAGGUUCCUGUAACAAUAAUAACAAUGGGCGGUCCUGGAAAACCAGGGAUUUAUCUCUUAAGAUACUUCCUCCUCCGUUUCAUUUUAACAGUUGCUUAACUUUAUUUCCGAUCCCAUUCACUUAAAAAAUUAUAUAAAUAUAAGAUAUAAUUUACUAAGUUAUUUUUAUUAUUACAUUUUGUUUUAAAAAAUAAG
rnacentral:lncRNA from 1 species